UGAGAACAGAAUCUAGUGGGGACUAUAUAGAUGUGAGACAGUUUAUUGAGAUGAAUUCUCACAGACUCCAACAGGCGUAUGUGGGUGACAGCUGGUUGGGCUCCAAGGGGGAUGGGAGCCAGAUGUGUGGUGUGAGGAGCAGGUGUGUGAUGUGAGGAGGAGCAGGUGUGUGGUGUGAGGAUUGGGUGUGUGGUGUGAGGAGGAGCAGGUGUGUGGUGUGAGGAGUGGGUGUGUGGUGUGAGGAGGAGCAGGUGUGUGGUGUGAGGAGUGGGUGCGUGGUGUGAAGAGGAGCAGGUGUGCGGUGUGAGGAGUGGGUGUGUGGUGUGAGGAGUGGGUGUGUGGUGUGAGGAGAAGCAGGUGUGUGGUGUGAGAAAGAGCCGGUGUGUGGUGUGAGAAGGAGCGGGUUUGUGGUGUGAGGAGCGGUUGUGUGGUGUGAGGAGUGGAUGUGUGGUGUGAGGAGGAGCGGGUGUGUGGUGUGAGGAGUGAGUGGUGUGAGGAGUGGGUGUGUGGUGUGAAGAGGAGCAGGUGUGUGGUGUGAGGAUUGGGUGUGUAGUGUGAGGAAGAGCAGGUGUGUGGUGUGAGGAUUGGGUGUGUAGUGUGAGGAAGAGCAGGUGUGUGGUGUGAGUAGUAGGUGUGUGGUGUGAGGAGGAGCGGGUGUGUGGUUUGAAGGAGUAGAGGCACUGACUGGGCUUCCAAGAAGUUUGACAGUGAGGGAAAGGAAACAGGAUGGUAACUCAAGUGAUUAAUAGGGUAGAAAGAAGUCUGUUGUUUGGUUUUAUUUUGUUUUACUAGAGAAACCAUGUAGGCAAACAGGAAGCAGCCAGUGAGGGAAAGGAAAUAGCGGGGGAAUGUGUAAGGAGAAUAGUUCUGGUGUGGAGAUACAGAAAGAGUCCCAUGGACACACUAAGAAAUUGAAUAUUUUGGUGGUAAAAAUGAGAGAAAACGAGGGCAUUUACUUAAAGUGGGAAGUAAUACCUUGCUAUAGCUAGACAUUGUUAGAAAAUCAAGAAUGGAGAAGAUUUAGAAAAGACAGUGC
rnacentral:lncRNA from 1 species